rnacentral:rRNA from 1 species
CCUACGGGCGGCAGCAGAGGGGAAUAUUGCACAAUGGGGGAAACCCUGAUGCAGCGACGCCGCGUGAGUGAAGAAGUAAUUCGUUAUGUAAAGCUCUAUCAGCAGGGAAGAAAAUGACGGUACCUGAGUAAGAAGCCCCGGCUAACUACGUGCCAGCAGCCGCGGUAAUACGUAGGGGGCAAGCGUUAUCCGGAUUUACUGGGUGUAAAGGGAGCGUAGACGGCAGUGCAAGUCUGGAGUGAAAGGCGGGGGCUCAACCCCCGGACUGCUCUGGAAACUGUACGGCUGGAGUGCAGGAGAGGUAAGUGGAAUUCCAGGUGUAGGAGUGAAAUCCGUAGAUAUCUGGAGGAACAUCAGUGGCGAAGGCGACUAUCUGGCACAUAACUGACGCUGAGGAGCGAAAGCGUGGGUAGCAAACAGGAUUAGAUACCCGAGUAGUC